rnacentral:tmRNA from 1 species
GGGGGCGCACGCAUCGACAAGGAACAUCCAUUGAGGGUUGCAGGCCGAGCUGAUCGUCUCGCCCGUCCGCCUCUGGCGGAUACAACCGGUCAAACACUAUAUCUGCCAACCGAACGGUUGCAGUUCCGGCGUUCGCAUUCGCGUAAUGCCGGCAUCGGCCUCUCAUGUCUCGUAGGAAUCAGCCGGUGUAAUAUUCGAGACUCGUCUUGUGGGGCCGCUUCGCGCUUCACGGGAUUAAACUAGCGGAGCACCUUCGUUCGCAAGAACUAAGCUUGUAGAGUGCCUUCGGUGAAUUCCCUGGAAGAGGGUUCAAUCCCUCCGCCUCCACCA